rnacentral:rRNA from 1 species
GAUGAACGCUGGCGGCGUGCCUAAUACAUGCAAGUCGAGCGAACAGACGAGGAGCUUGCUCCUCUGACGUUAGCGGCGGACGGGUGAGUAACACGUGGAUAACCUACCUAUAAGACUGGGAUAACUUCGGGAAACCGGAGCUAAUACCGGAUAAUAUAUUGAACCGCAUGGUUCAAUAGUGAAAGACGGUUUUGCUGUCACUUAUAGAUGGAUCCGCGCCGCAUUAGCUAGUUGGUAAGGUAACGGCUUACCAAGGCAACGAUGCGUAGCCGACCUGAGAGGGUGAUCGGCCACACUGGAACUGAGAAACGGUCCAGACGCCUAAGGGAGGCAGCAGUAGGGAAACUUACGAAAUGGGCGAAAGCGUGACGGAGCAACGCCGCGUGAGUGAUGAAGGUCUGCGGAUCGUAAAACUCUGUUAUUAGGGAAGAACAAAUGUGUAAGUAACUAUGCACGUCUUGACGGUACCUAAUCAGAAAGCCACGGCUAACUACGUG